UGUUUGUGCAGUGUUCAUUCUCUGUGUAUGUUACAUGCAGUGUGUGUGCACAGUGUUCAUUCUCUGUGUAUGUCACAUGCAGCGUGCGUGUGCAGUGUUCAUUCUCAGUGUAUGUUACAUGCAGUGUGCGUGUGCAGUGUUCAUUCUCAGUGUAUGUUACAUGCAGUGUGCGUGUGCAGUGUUCAUUCUCAGUGUAUGUUACAUGCAGUGUGUGCGCAGUGUUCAUUCUCAGUGUAUGUUACAUGCAGUGUAUGUGCAGUGUGUGUGCGCAGUGUUCAUUCU